CGUAGGGCGCAAGCGUUGUCCGGAAUUAUUGGGCGUAAAGAGCUCGUAGGCGGUUUGUCGCGUCUGCUGUGAAAAGCCCGGGGCUUAAACCCCGGGUGUGCAGUGGGUACGGGCAGACUAGAGUGCAGUAGGGGAGACUGGAAUUCCUGGUGUAGCGGUGGAAUGCGCAGAUAUCAGGAGGAACACCGAUGGCGAAGGCAGGUCUCUGGGGCUGUUACUGACGCUGAGGAGCGAAAGCAUGGGAGCGAACAGGAUU
rnacentral:rRNA from 1 species